GCCAUUUCUUUUUGCUGGUCAUGUGUUGACAGGGCUCUCAUUGGAUCUCUGCUGGUGUUAUCUGAGAGGAAAGCACCACCCGAGUCACCUUCUCCUGCUGAGUGGAGGACAAGGAGAUGCCAGACCUGUCAACUCUAGCCCUGGAUGGAAGCUAUGUAUCCUAUCCACCAGAGGGCACUACAUAGAAAACAGCUCAAUGUUCUUUUUAAGUUGUCUCCUAACAAAACCAUUGAGGCAGUGCUGAGAAAAAGCGACCGUUACAGAAGCUUUGUGGGAUACACAUUUCCCUGAGCUCUUAAUCACUUUUUUAUUUGGUAACACAAGCCCAGUCAUGUGACACCAUUGAAUACAACAACAAGGGAGAGAAUGGAACCCACGCAGCAAAGCAAGAAACUAAGAGACUACAGACAUUUCUGGGCAGGUCGUGCACUCAGGACCUGGCUUAUUGUCUUUUCCUUCCUGACUAUGAUUAUUUUUUCCCCUUGAUUAAAUGCGUA